rnacentral:rRNA from 1 species
UACAGAGGUCUCAAGCGUUGUUCGGAUUCAUUGGGCGUAAAGGGUGCGUAGGUGGCGUCGUAAGUCGGGUGUGAAAUCUCAGAGCUCAACUCUGAAACUGCACUCGAUACUGCUCUGCUUGAGGACUGGAGAGGAGACUGGAAUUCACGGUGUAGCAGUGAAAUGCGUAGAUAUCGUGAGGAAGACCAGUGGCGAAGGCGGGUCUCUGGACAGUUCCUGACGCUGAGG